rnacentral:rRNA from 1 species
GCAGGCCUAACACAUGCAAGUCGGACGAGAAGGUACCUUCGGGUACUGGAGAGUGGCGCACGGGUGAGUAACGCGUGGGGACCUACCUCUUAGUGGGGGAUAACGGUUGGAAACGACCGCUAAUACCGCAUACGCCCUUCGGGGGAAAGAUUUAUCGCUAAGAGAUGGACCCCCGUUGGAUUAGAUAGUUGGUGAGGUAAUGGCUCACCAAGUCGGCGAUCCAUAGCUGGUUUGAGAGGAUGAUCAGCCACACUGGGACUGAGACACGGCCCAGACUCCUACGGGAGGCAGCAGUGGGGAAUAUUGGACAAUGGGGGCAACCCUGAUCCAGCCAUGCCGC